AUGACCUGGAAGUCUUCCCCUGCUGCGCACUACGGGUGCAUGCGUGCAUGUAGUAGCUCCGUACGUACGGUGGCAUGGACCCCGAGUCUUGUCCGGUUUUCCGCGGAUGAAAUGGGACAUGACGGGGACGGGUGGAGCAUGAGCAACGUCGCAAGUCGCAACGGAAUGAAUUGUGAAGACGUGUCGCGCGUGUGUCGUACACGCGCAUCCUUGACCGUGGAGACGGGCCGAAGAGGUCGGGAGCGACAUCAAGCGGACAACAUACUCCUUGACGGCGCGCACACCCCCAAGAUCACCGACAUCGGGAUCUCCAAGCUGCUCGGGAACCAGCAAGUGCACACCACGGUGACCAACAUCAGGGGCACCAGGGGGUCCAUCGCCCCGGAAUGGUUUCGCGGCAACGCGCGGAUCGACACCAAGGGAGGAGACGAGGCAGUCAUGCUGUUCGAGUGGGCGAUCCAACUAGUCAGCAGCCAGAGGACUGAGCUCAUACUGCCGGAAGACAAUGACGCGGUGGCGAACUUGGAGAGGGUGGAGAGGUUCGCGCGUGUGGCGUUCUGGUGCAUCGAGCCCAACCCGUCGCUCCGGCCGACGAUGCACCAUGUGGUGCAGAUGCUGGAGAGCGUGGUUGCUGAGGCUGAGGUGCUACCUGACCCUCCCUCGUGUUACAUGGACUUGGCUCCUUUGACCGUGUCUUUUGUUUAA
rnacentral:rRNA from 1 species